rnacentral:rRNA from 1 species
UACGUAGGGUGCGAGCGUUGUCCGGAAUUAUUGGGCGUAAAGAGCUCGUAGGCGGUUUGUCACGUCGGAUGUGAAACCCCGGGGCUUAACUCCGGGCCUGCAUUCGAUACGGGCUGACUAGAGUUCGGCAGGGGAGACUGGAAUUCCUGGUGUAGCGGUGAAAUGCGCAGAUAUCAGGAGGAACACCGGUGGCGAAGGCGGGUCUCUGGGCCGAUACUGACGCUGAGGAGCGAAAGCUAGGGGAGCGAACUGG